GAUGAACGCUGGCGGCGUGCUUAACACAUGCAAGUCGAGCGAAGCACUUAUGAAAGUUUCUUCGGAUGAUUUCGUUUGUGACUGAGCGGCGGACGGGUGAGUAACGCGUGGGUAACCUGCCUCAUACAGGGGGAUAACAGUUGGAAACGACUGCUAAUACCGCAUAAGCGCACAGUACCGCAUGGUACAGUGUGAAAAACUCCGGUGGUAUGAGAUGGACCCGCGUCUGAUUAGCUUGUUGGUGGGGUAACGGCCUACCAAGGCAACGAUCAGUAGCCGACCUGAGAGGGUGACCGGCCACAUUGGGACUGAGACACGGCCCAAACUCCUACGGGAGGCAGCAGUGGGGAAUAUUGCACAAUGGGGGAAACCCUGAUGCAGCAACGCCGCGUGAGUGAAGAAGUAUUUCGGUAUGUAAAGCUCUAUCAGCAGGGAAGAAAAUGACGGUACCUGACUAAGAAGCCCCGGCUAACUACGUGCCAGCCGCCGCGGUAA
rnacentral:rRNA from 1 species